rnacentral:rRNA from 1 species
UACGUAGGGGGCGAGCGUUGUCCGGAAUCAUUGGGCGUAAAGAGCGUGUAGGCGGCUCGGUAAGUCCGCCGUGAAAACCUGAGGCUCAACCUCAGGCUUGCGGUGGAUACUGUCGGGCUAGAGGAUGGUAGAGGCGAGUGGAAUUCCCGGUGUAGCGGUGAAAUGCGCAGAUAUCGGGAGGAACACCGGUAGCGAAGGCGGCUCGCUGGGCCAUUCCUGACGCUGAGACGCGAAAGCUAGGGGAGCGAACAGG